UGGAGUCUGGUGAAUCAGGGCAGGCUAUGGAGAACAUAAAAGGGAGAAGUUAGAGAAGGAGCAGGCCAGGUGGAGUGGGACAGCAUAGAUGACCUUGUGGGUCAUUUGAUGAUUUUGCAUUUUAUUCUGGUUGAGAUAGGAAGCCAUCAGAGUGUUUUGAGCACAAGGGUAAUAUAAAUCCACAGAUCAUCAUUCUGGCUAUUGUAUUGAGAAUGGCUUUAAGAAGGGCAAGGGGGCCAGGUGUGGUCGUUGACGCCUGUAAUCCCAGCACUUUGGGGGGCUGAAGCUGGAAGAUCACUUGAGCCCAAGAGUUCGAAACGAGCCUGGGCAACAGUGAGACCCCAUCUCAAUUUUUUAAAAAAAAAGGAAGAAAGAAAAGAAAAGAUAAAAACAAGGGCAAGGGUAGCAGCAAGACUCGUUUGGAGGCCGUUAUGUAAUCCAGGGUCUCUCACAAGGCUGCAAUCAAGGUGUUGUUGGCCCCGGGC
rnacentral:lncRNA from 10 species